ACCUAGAUAAAAGUUCGUCAUUAAGGAUUAUUUCAUUCCAUUUACAUUUAAAUUUUGUGGUAAUUUAUUACAUAUAGGUCCAGCAGUUGACGGAAUCUACGCGGCAUACAGUAUUGACAUCAUCGUAGCCGUUUUCCUAAUCUUCGCGUCCAUUGUCCUUCUUGUAGGUGUGUCGAAAGAUAAUAAAGAGAUGCUAAUCCCAUACAUGGUAGCUAUUUUUCUGCUCAUGGUUCUUCAAGCCAUCGCCUGGAUUGUAACAUUUGCCUUAGCCGGCCUGGAGGGUACUCUCCUGAUCGGUAAUCUUGUGGUCUGGUUGCUAUUUACUGCCCUCAACAUAACUUGUCUCCUCUGUGUUAUUUCGCAAUAUCAGGAGCUUCGAGACGGCCGUGGAAAAGCAAGUAAUGUGAUGUAAACAGAAACUCACGAUUUGAAAUAUCAACUUUUCCCUUCAAGAUAUACAAUGUAUGAUAAGCGCCUCUUUGGGUAUUGCGGGAUGGAACUCACAGGAUUUAUCAUUUUGUAUUACUUUUUUCUCAAAUUAUCGAAUUAUCUUCUCUACAAUGUUAUAAGAAUGUAGCAAGCCUGUUUUUAGCAAAAGUGUAGCUUUAGCAAUCAUCUUGAAAGAUGUAUUUGAAAGUAGAUUGGCUUCGUGUAUUAAUAAUUAUUCGCUGAAAUUAAAUCUGUAUAGUCACAUGCACACAUUUUUGUAUAUUACACUGUCAGUCUUUAACUGAGUAAAAUAACAGUGAAAGAUGGCGUCGUUUAGGCAUAGGUUCUGUGGUAUUUUUAAAACACACAACGUACAUUGUAAGAAUAAAAAGUAUUGCAAUGUAUUUCAAAUUG